CUGAAGCCUGUGAGCCAGAAUCAUACUUAGUGUUUCCAUGGCAACUUCAAGUCUCAUUCUAAAUGAACUGGAACCCUGAUGACAGGUGUCAGUCCUGGAGCUUGGUUGAAACAAGACAGGCCCUGGACACGUAAAUGCUCACCAUGUCCAGCUGUGCCUGUGGCUUCUGGUGUUCAGAGCGAAUGUCACAGCAGUCUAUGAACGCCACAUUCCAAGGAUGUCACAGCAGGUUUCUGCUCUGUAGCCACUGACCUCUCUCCUGGAAAUGACCUGCCUAGUCAGGCAGCACCUUGGCAACCGGCAACAGCGCCCAUGAACACAUUCUGAUACUUUACCUCAAGGAAGCAAGUGGCAAGACAACCCGAAAGAAAUGAGUGCGGAAAGAACACAAUAUAGAACACAUAAAACACUGAAAUUACAUCAAUAAAACAUGAAAAUACGUCCAACUUGAGACAAAUGCAAAGUGUCAUUUUUAUAGCUAAAUAGUACAUAUACCUUCAAAGUCAACAUUGUCCUGUCAGGUUUCUUAUUAGCCAUAUUUUCAGUCUGUUUUAAUAUUUUAAUGAGUGAAAAGUAUGUAAGUAGUUCUAAAGACCCAACUUAGCAACCAAGUUUAUCUUCUGAAUCUUAUGGUUAAUUUUCCCAUUAAGCCAGAGAACAGUCAUAUAAAGUACAUUUUUGCCAGAAUACAGAAGCUGACCAAGAGGAAGGGGGAAAUGUCAAGUUCCAAAAAGAACCACUAUUUCAACUUAAUCACAAACCUUCUGUGACUACACAGGUGCUCAAUGUAGGUAAAGUUUCUCCAGAUGAAAUAAUUUAUACAAAGCAAAGAACACACAUAUUCUCUCCCUCAGUAUUAAGGAAACAGUCUUAGUCUUCAAAAUAUAACCUGUGAUAAUGCAGUAAAAGCAGCUCAACUUGAGGGUUUCACAGAAUACUUUGAAGUUAAUAUUGAAUUCUUUUUUUUUUGUGGUACCAGGGAUCGAACUUAUGACCUUGCAUUUUCCAGGCAGGUGCUGUGCCACUGAGCUAAAUCCCUGGCCCUAAUAUUGAAUUCUUUAAAAAUAUCUGAAGAGUUAACCAUCAUGUAUUUUUAUUACAAGGUAUUUUAAAAUUUGGGCAGUUAUAAUUGUGUCAGAAACCCAGUUUCAUACCAAAAAUACACUUUCACUUACUAUCAAAGCAAAUAAAAACCAUCUCCAUUUAUUUGCUCCUUCCAGAAGCUAAAAAUAUAAUAAAAAUUCAAUAUUAUGUAUGAUGUACAUGUAAUUAAACAAACAUAUAAAAUGAAUAUGUAUUGAAUUUUCAGAAACAAAAGUAAAAAUAAAUAGCAAUG
rnacentral:lncRNA from 1 species